rnacentral:rRNA from 1 species
UUUAUGGAGAGUUUGAUCCUGGCUCAGGAUGAACGCUGGCGGCGUGCCUAAUACAUGCAAGUCGAGCGAACGGACGAGAAGCUUGCUUCUCUGAUGUUAGCGGCGGACGGGUGAGUAACACGUGGAUAACCUACCUAUAAGACUGGGAUAACUUCGGGAAACCGGAGCUAAUACCGGAUAAUAUUUUGAACCGCAUGGUUCAAAAGUGAAAGACGGUCUUGCUGUCACUUAUAGAUGGAUCCGCGCUGCAUUAGCUAGUUGGUAAGGUAACGGCUUACCAAGGCAACGAUGCAUAGCCGACCUGAGAGGGUGAUCGGCCACACUGGAACUGAGACACGGUCCAGACUCCUACGGGAGGCAGCAGUAGGGAAUCUUCCGCAAUGGGCGAAAGCCUGACGGAGCAACGCCGCGUGAGUGAUGAAGGUCUUCGGAUCGUAAAACUCUGUUAUUAGGGAAGAACAUAUGUGUAAGUAACUGUGCACAUCUUGACGGUACCUAAUCAGAAAGCCACGGCUAACUACGUGCCAGCAGCCGCGGUAAUACGUAGGUGGCAAGCGUUAUCCGGAAUUAUUGGGCGUAAAGCGCGCGUAGGCGGUUUUUUAAGUCUGAUGUGAAAGCCCACGGCUCAACCGUGGAGGGUCAUUGGAAACUGGAAAACUUGAGUGCAGAAGAGGAAAGUGGAAUUCCAUGUGUAGCGGUGAAAUGCGCAGAGAUAUGGAGGAACACCAGUGGCGAAGGCGACUUUCUGGUCUGUAACUGACGCUGAUGUGCGAAAGCGUGGGGAUCAAACAGGAUUAGAUACCCUGGUAGUCCACGCCGUAAACGAUGAGUGCUAAGUGUUAGGGGGUUUCCGCCCCUUAGUGCUGCAGCUAACGCAUUAAGCACUCCGCCUGGGGAGUACGACCGCAAGGUUGAAACUCAAAGGAAUUGACGGGGACCCGCACAAGCGGUGGAGCAUGUGGUUUAAUUCGAAGCAACGCGAAGAACCUUACCAAAUCUUGACAUCCUUUGACAACUCUAGAGAUAGAGCCUUCCCCUUCGGGGGACAAAGUGACAGGUGGUGCAUGGUUGUCGUCAGCUCGUGUCGUGAGAUGUUGGGUUAAGUCCCGCAACGAGCGCAACCCUUAAGCUUAGUUGCCAUCAUUAAGUUGGGCACUCUAAGUUGACUGCCGGUGACAAACCGGAGGAAGGUGGGGAUGACGUCAAAUCAUCAUGCCCCUUAUGAUUUGGGCUACACACGUGCUACAAUGGACAAUACAAAGGGCAGCGAAACCGCGAGGUCAAGCAAAUCCCAUAAAGUUGUUCUCAGUUCGGAUUGUAGUCUGCAACUCGACUACAUGAAGCUGGAAUCGCUAGUAAUCGUAGAUCAGCAUGCUACGGUGAAUACGUUCCCGGGUCUUGUACACACCGCCCGUCACACCACGAGAGUUUGUAACACCCGAAGCCGGUGGAGUAACCUUUUAGGAGCUAGCCGUCGAAGGUGGGACAAAUGAUUGGGGUGAAGUCGUAACAAGGUAGCCGUAUCGGAAGGUGCGGCUGGAUCACCUCC